ACAUGCCUACAACAUAGUGUUAAUGCAUCGGAUCCCAUUAGAACUCUGCAGUUAAGUGCGCUCGGGCUAUAGUAGUACUGGGAUGGGUGACCGCCCGGGAAGUCCUAGUAUUUUACAUGCC
rnacentral:rRNA from 1 species